AUGCGCCUACGCCUGUGCGCCAUCUCCCCUACACCUGUUCGAUCUCCUCAGUCCUCUCCUCUGUUUGAGUUUAGUCAUGAAAAGGACUCAAUGCCAAGGACCUGGACAGGAAAGGAAGAUGUACGUGCAAUAGCAAAGGAGGCGAAGUCUGCUGCUCUCAAACUUCUGUCUGUAUUAGCCAUCAUUCGCUGGGAUGACAAGCCAGAUAGGAUUGAAAACAUUCUGACUUUCACACUUCUAGAUGGAUCUGUUGAAUCAAAGAGUUCAAGCGCUUCUUCUGGUGACCCACUUGCUUCAACUACCUGGGACAAGGUUCAUCCAGAACAUACGCUUAUUACUCCAGCUCAGUGCAAGUCAGUGUGGAAGCAAAAAAUUUCAACAAUUAGUACUGAAUUAUUAGAAGUUAGUACUGAUCUAUUGAGUGUUGAAUACACAAUUCUUAAGCUUGUCAUUGUAAACCUAUUGCAAAACUUGCUUAUCUAUUGUCGAUUCCAUUUUUUUUUUGAAAAAAGAUUCUGA
rnacentral:rRNA from 1 species